rnacentral:rRNA from 1 species
AGUGAACGCUGGCGGUAGGCCUAACACAUGCAAGUCGAACGGCAGCACAGUAAGAGCUUGCUCUUACGGGUGGCGAGUGGCGGACGGGUGAGGAAUACAUCGGAAUCUACUUUUUCGUGGGGGAUAACGUAGGGAAACUUACGCUAAUACCGCAUACGACCUACGGGUGAAAGCAGGGGAUCUUCGGACCUUGCGCGAUUGAACGAGCCGAUGUCGGAUUAGCUAGUUGGCGGGGUAACGGCCCACCAAGGCGACGAUCCGUAGCUGGUCUGAGAGGAUGAUCAGCCACACUGGAACGGAGACACGGUCCAGACUCCUACGGGAGGCAGCAGUGGGGAGUAUUGGACAAUGGGCGCAAGCCUGGUCCAGCCAUACCGCGUGGGUGGAAGAGGCCUUCGGGUUGUAAAGCCCUUUUGUUGGGAAAGAAAAGCAGCAGGUUAAUACCCCGCUGUUCUGACGGUACCCAAAGAAUAAGCACCGGCUAACUUCGUG